GCAGGCAUCUCGCUCUCCCGGGGGCUCGGUGCAGAGCGGCGGGGAGGACGCUUCUCUUUACGCUCACGGGCCCCCGCUGCUCGGACCCCGGCCCGCAGACAGGCCAUCCAUCACCCGCCUCCUCCCGCCGCGCGCGGCCGCCGCGGCCAAUCGGGCGGCAGGUGGGGUCGCACCUGCCGGACAGCCCGCCGCUGCCCUCCUGCUCUCCGCGCCGCGCCUCCCAGGCUGGAGGCGCCCUCGUGAGCCCCCGCGUUCUCCAAGGCCAGAACAGACAGGUAUAUUGGCCUGGGAACCUAGUCUCCUGGGGAAAUGGCUUCAAGAGAAGAAGUGCCACUGGAAGUACAAAUGAACCCCCGGGCAGCUUGUUAAGGGCCACCCAGCCUGCCCCAGGAUGGGAGCAUUCAAGAUUGUAGAGCCGUUUCUUCUUCAUCUGUCCCCAUCUUUCUUUUCAUGAUGCCUUAUAAAAAUGAAGCCUCAACUACUAACCUUUGGAGAGUGAAACCUCUGCAUUCACCUUCACUCCCCCGUUUCCUUGAGAACUUGGAGAGGGUCCCAAGAAGAGGAACCCAAUGAUAUAAGCAGUGGAAUGUUGAGACAUAUUAAGUGAGUUGUUUGUUCUGCAAAGGAGGAAGAUAAAAGGUGACAAGAGUAUGAAAUGAUCUGUGAGGAAACUGCAGGACUAUUUUUCUUCAGAGGUAAAAGUAAUAACACUUGGGGAAAUGGACCUAAAAUUAGGAACAAUUUCAUAUGUACAGAAAAACGUCCUAUGAGCCAUGAAAGUUAAAAACUACUUUUAAUGAACAGCAAAGAGAAGCUACAAAAUAUCAAUCCUUAUAAAUAAAAAGUGCCCUCUGCAAAUGAGGCAUUAAAU
rnacentral:lncRNA from 1 species